AUAUGAAGGCGGGCUGGAACCUCUCGGGGUUACAGCCUUGCUGAAUUAUUCACCCUUGUCUUUUGCGUACUUCUUGUUUCCUUGGUGGGUUCGCCCACCACUAGGACAAACAUAAACCUUUUGUAAUUGCAAUCAGCGUCAGUAACAAAUUAAUAAUUACAACUUUCAACAACGGAUCUCUUGGUUCUGGCAUCGAUGAAGAACGCAGCGAAAUGCGAUAAGUAGUGUGAAUUGCAGAAUUCAGUGAAUCAUCGAAUCUUUGAACGCACAUUGCGCCCUUUGGUAUUCCAAAGGGCAUGCCUGUUCGAGCGUCAUUUGUACCCUCAAGCUUUGCUUGGUGUUGGGCGUCUUGUCUCUAGCUUUGCUGGAGACUCGCCUUAAAGUAAUUGGCAGCCGGCCUACUGGUUUCGGAGCGCAGCACAAGUCGCACUCUCUAUCAGCAAAGGUCUAGCAUCCAUUAAGCCUUUUUUUCAACUUUUGACCUCGGAUCAGGUAGGGAUACCCGCUGAACUUAAGCAUAUCAAUAAGCGGAGGAAAAGAAACCAACAGGGAUUGCCCUAGUAACGGCGAGUGAAGCGGCAACAGCUCAAAUUUGAAAUCUGGCUCUUUUAGAGUCCGAGUUGUAAUUUGCAGAGGGCGCUUUGGCUUUGGCAGCGGUCCAAGUUCCUUGGAACAGGACGUCACAGAGGGUGAGAAUCCCGUACGUGGUCGCUGGCUAUUGCCGUGUAAAGCCCCUUCGACGAGUCGAGUUGUUUGGGAAUGCAGCUCUAAAUGGGAGGUACAUUUCUUCUAAAGCUAAAUAUUGGCCAGAGACCGAUAGCGCACAAGUAGAGUGAUCGAAAGAUGAAAAGCACUUUGGAAAGAGAGUCAAACAGCACGUGAAAUUGUUGAAAGGGAAGCGCUUGCAGCCAGACUUGCUUACAGUUGCUCAUCCGGGUUUCUACCCGGUGCACUCUUCUGUAGGCAGGCCAGCAUCAGUUUGGGCGGUAGGAUAAAGGUCUCUGUCACGUACCUCCUUUCGGGGAGGCCUUAUAGGGGAGACGACAUACUACCAGCCUGGACUGAGGUCCGCGCA
rnacentral:rRNA from 1 species